GUCCACGCUGUAAACGAUGGAUACUAGCUGUUUGGUUUUCGGACUGAGUGGCUAAGCGAAAGUGAUAAGUAUCCCACCUGGGGAGUACGUUCGCAAGAAUGAAACUCAAAGGAAUUGACGGGGGCCCGCACAAGCGGUGGAGCAUGUGGUUUAAUUCGAUGAUACGCGAGGAACCUUACCAGGGCUUAAAUGUAGAUUGACAGGUUUGGAAACAGACUUUUCUUCGGACAAUUUUACAAGGUGCUGCAUGGUUGUCGU
rnacentral:rRNA from 1 species